rnacentral:rRNA from 1 species
GGUUAAGCGACUAAGCGUACACGGUGGAUGCCCUGGCAGUCAGAGGCGAUGAAGGACGUGCUAAUCUGCGAUAAGCGUCGGUAAGGUGAUAUGAACCGUUAUAACCGGCGAUUUCCGAAUGGGGAAACCCAGUGUGUUUCGACACACUAUCAUUAACUGAAUCCAUAGGUUAAUGAGGCGAACCGGGGGAACUGAAACAUCUAAGUACCCCGAGGAAAAGAAAUCAACCGAGAUUCCCCCAGUAGCGGCGAGCGAACGGGGAGCAGCCCAGAGCCUGAAUCAGUGUGUGUGUUAGUGGAAGCGUCUGGAAAGGCGCGCGAUACAGGGUGACAGCCCCGUACACAAAAAUGCACAUGCUGUGAGCUCGAUGAGUAGGGCGGGACACGUGGUAUCCUGUCUGAAUAUGGGGGGACCAUCCUCCAAGGCUAAAUACUCCUGACUGACCGAUAGUGAACCAGUACCGUGAGGGAAAGGCGAAAAGAACCCCGGCGAGGGGAGUGAAAAAGAACCUGAAACCGUGUACGUACAAGCAGUGGGAGCACGCUUAGGCGUGUGACUGCGUACCUUUUGUAUAAUGGGUCAGCGACUUAUAUUCUGUAGCAAGGUUAACCGAAUAGGGGAGCCGAAGGGAAACCGAGUCUUAACUGGGCGUUAAGUUGCAGGGUAUAGACCCGAAACCCGGUGAUCUAGCCAUGGGCAGGUUGAAGGUUGGGUAACACUAACUGGAGGACCGAACCGACUAAUGUUGAAAAAUUAGCGGAUGACUUGUGGCUGGGGGUGAAAGGCCAAUCAAACCGGGAGAUAGCUGGUUCUCCCCGAAAGCUAUUUAGGUAGCGCCUCGUGAAUUCAUCUCCGGGGGUAGAGCACUGUUUCGGCAAGGGGGUCAUCCCGACUUACCAACCCGAUGCAAACUGCGAAUACCGGAGAAUGUUAUCACGGGAGACACACGGCGGGUGCUAACGUCCGUCGUGAAGAGGGAAACAACCCAGACCGCCAGCUAAGGUCCCAAAGUCAUGGUUAAGUGGGAAACGAUGUGGGAAGGCCCAGACAGCCAGGAUGUUGGCUUAGAAGCAGCCAUCAUUUAAAGAAAGCGUAAUAGCUCACUGGUCGAGUCGGCCUGCGCGGAAGAUGUAACGGGGCUAAACCAUGCACCGAAGCUGCGGCAGCGACGCUUAUGCGUUGUUGGGUAGGGGAGCGUUCUGUAAGCCUGUGAAGGUGUGCUGUGAGGCAUGCUGGAGGUAUCAGAAGUGCGAAUGCUGACAUAAGUAACGAUAAAGCGGGUGAAAAGCCCGCUCGCCGGAAGACCAAGGGUUCCUGUCCAACGUUAAUCGGGGCAGGGUGAGUCGACCCCUAAGGCGAGGCCGAAAGGCGUAGUCGAUGGGAAACAGGUUAAUAUUCCUGUACUUGGUGUUACUGCGAAGGGGGGACGGAGAAGGCUAUGUUGGCCGGGCGACGGUUGUCCCGGUUUAAGCGUGUAGGCUGGUUUUCCAGGCAAAUCCGGAAAAUCAAGGCUGAGGCGUGAUGACGAGGCACUACGGUGCUGAAGCAACAAAUGCCCUGCUUCCAGGAAAAGCCUCUAAGCAUCAGGUAACAUCAAAUCGUACCCCAAACCGACACAGGUGGUCAGGUAGAGAAUACCAAGGCGCUUGAGAGAACUCGGGUGAAGGAACUAGGCAAAAUGGUGCCGUAACUUCGGGAGAAGGCACGCUGAUAUGUAGGUGAAGUCCCUUGCGGAUGGAGCUGAAAUCAGUCGAAGAUACCAGCUGGCUGCAACUGUUUAUUAAAAACACAGCACUGUGCAAACACGAAAGUGGACGUAUACGGUGUGACGCCUGCCCGGUGCCGGAAGGUUAAUUGAUGGGGUCAGCGCAAGCGAAGCUCUUGAUCGAAGCCCCGGUAAACGGCGGCCGUAACUAUAACGGUCCUAAGGUAGCGAAAUUCCUUGUCGGGUAAGUUCCGACCUGCACGAAUGGCGUAAUGAUGGCCAGGCUGUCUCCACCCGAGACUCAGUGAAAUUGAACUCGCUGUGAAGAUGCAGUGUACCCGCGGCAAGACGGAAAGACCCCGUGAACCUUUACUAUAGCUUGACACUGAACAUUGAGCCUUGAUGUGUAGGAUAGGUGGGAGGCUUUGAAGUGUGGACGCCAGUCUGCAUGGAGCCGACCUUGAAAUACCACCCUUUAAUGUUUGAUGUUCUAACGUUGACCCGUAAUCCGGGUUGCGGACAGUGUCUGGUGGGUAGUUUGACUGGGGCGGUCUCCUCCUAAAGAGUAACGGAGGAGCACGAAGGUUGGCUAAUCCUGGUCGGACAUCAGGAGGUUAGUGCAAUGGCAUAAGCCAGCUUGACUGCGAGCGUGACGGCGCGAGCAGGUGCGAAAGCAGGUCAUAGUGAUCCGGUGGUUCUGAAUGGAAGGGCCAUCGCUCAACGGAUAAAAGGUACUCCGGGGAUAACAGGCUGAUACCGCCCAAGAGUUCAUAUCGACGGCGGUGUUUGGCACCUCGAUGUCGGCUCAUCACAUCCUGGGGCUGAAGUAGGUCCCAAGGGUAUGGCUGUUCGCCAUUUAAAGUGGUACGCGAGCUGGGUUUAGAACGUCGUGAGACAGUUCGGUCCCUAUCUGCCGUGGGCGCUGGAGAACUGAGGGGGGCUGCUCCUAGUACGAGAGGACCGGAGUGGACGCAUCACUGGUGUUCGGGUUGUCAUGCCAAUGGCACUGCCCGGUAGCUAAAUGCGGAAGAGAUAAGUGCUGAAAGCAUCUAAGCACGAAACUUGCCCCGAGAUGAGUUCUCCCUGAC